rnacentral:rRNA from 1 species
UACGUAGGGGGCAAGCGUUGUCCGGAUUUAUUGGGCGUAAAGAGCGUGUAGGCGGCCAUUCAGGUCAGCUGUGAAAACUCGAGGCUCAACCUCGAGACGUCGGUUGAAACCGUUUGGCUAGAGUCCGGAAGAGGAGAGUGGAAUUCCCGGUGUAGCGGUGAAAUGCGCAGAUAUCAGGAAGAACACCAACGGCGAAGGCAGCUCGCUGGGACGGAACUGACGCUAAGGCGCGAAAGCGUGGGGAGCGAACAGG